rnacentral:rRNA from 1 species
UACGUAGGGUGGCAAGCGUUGUUCCGGAAUUAUUGGGCGUAAAGGCGCGCGCAGGUGGUUCUUAAGUCUGAAUGUGAAAGCCCACAGGCCUCAACCGUGGAGGGUCAUUGGAAACUGGGGAAACUUGAGUGCAGGUAGAGUAAGAGUGGAAUUCCACGGAGUAGCGGUGAAAUGCGUAGAGAUGUGGAGGAACACCAGUGGCGAAGGCGACUACCUGGCCGUGAU